AUAACUUCGCCGGUGUCGAGAGUGGUCCAUGGAUUUUUCCAAAGUCCCCCCUCAUGCUGCUUUCCGUGCCCAACCGCCUCCCGCCCUGACCUGGGGACUCGCAAAGGGCAGCGGGAGGGGCGCCGGGGAAGGGGGCGAGCGCCCAGACCGCCGGAGGCAGCGGCGAGGACUGGAACUCCAGCAUGGCGAUUACUCUGCCCCUCAGCGGUUCCAGUGCCCUCAAAGCAAUCUGUCUCUGAAGUACUGGCUAUCUUCUGAGCGUGUGCCAGAAGAUCCAGCUUUGUUGAAAAGCGAAGCCGUUAGUCCCUUAAUACAAAGGAUCAGGGAUAGCAGAAAUGAAAGUAUAAUGGAAGCAGCUGGAGGAUUCCAGGUCCACUUUCACCCAAGUAAUGGAGACGGAAGGUUCAUCGAAACUUCUUCAGCUGCAGAUCUAGAAGUCAUUAGCUAUUCUAGCAAAGUAUCUGUCACAGAAAGGUGCUUCAUAAAGGUCUGCACUGUGCUCUUUUGACCUGUGUCUUCAAGCAUGUGCUGUCAUAACAGAUUAAAGAUGACUGAAAAUUAUCUGCCACUCAUUGCGUGAAAGGUGGGAUCUGUAGACCUCCCUCUUGAAUUUGGGAGGGUUCUGUGACUGCUGUGACCAAUGAAUAUGGCAGAAGUGACGCUUUGCCAACUUCUGGGUCCAGGCUAUACGAGACAGGCAGUUCCACUCACUGUCUCUUAGAUCCAUGUAAAAAGUUCAUCUACCCUGCUGGAAAAACCAUGUAGAGAGGCCCUGAGACUACAUUGGGUGGGAGAGGGGCUCAGCUGCACCAUCUUCCAACUGUCCCCAUCAAGAUGACAGAAAUAUAAAUGAAGCCUUCUUGAACUCCAGACCAUCCAUGCUACAAGCUAAAUGCCACCAAGCGACCCCAGUUAAUACCAUGUGGAGCAAAAAUAUCACUUAACCAAGCACUGCCUGAGUUUCUGACCCCACAGAAUUCUGACCCCAUACAAAUAAAAUAAUUUUUGUAAUUUUUUAUAAUUCGUCAUGUAAUAGAUAAAUGGAACAGCCUUCUUCCAGUCUUUUAAAUAGCUGCAAGAAAUCUUAUUCAAGCAGAAGGAAGUUUCUACUUUGUUCAUACAGUCUCAAGACAUCCCUGGAGCCUUUCAAGGGAAAUUUGGGCAGAAGUAGGUAGAGAGGUAAAGCUAUUAUGUAACAUUACUUAACAUGAUUAAAACCACCUUAAUGUCUCCCAUCCUCAAAGGCUGCCAGUGAAUUGGAAAUUAAUGGAUUAAAUGAGGACAGAGAAACUAGUAUUUGUGCAUAUGCACUGUGCCAGGUAUUUAACGUAUCUUAGCUCAUGUGGUCUUCGAAACAACCCCAUAUUGUAGUAUCAGGCUCACACGGGUAACUAACUAGUGCAAAGACACAAGGCUCACAAACUGCUACUUGACCCUAGAGCUCUUUGACUCCGAUUCCCAUGUACGUGCCCCAAUACCAUGUUGACUCCCAAGGUGUAAAUCUUCAGGUAUACAAACUAUUAAAAUGUGAAUUUUCAUUUAUACGCAAUUUUUGCUUAUGAUAUGUUUUUUGUCACUUGCAUAAUAAUAGAUAUGUAACUUUAAAUCAGCAAUAUUAUACUGGCUAUCAACCAGUUUCAUGUAAAUUUUUCUAACAGAAAGAAUGUAGCAUUGAAAUGUGUACAUUUUUGUCCAAGUACACCUGGCAAUUGAAAGAAAAAAUCCAAGCCACUUGGAUGCUUGAUUUUGUGAUUUUUUUUUAUACACUUCCUUAUAAGAAUUUUUUUUAGGUAUUGAAUUUGCAACUACAAAACCUGAUUUUCCUCCCGGUUCUGUCCCUUUCUAGUAAUGAGACAUUGGACAAGUCACUUCACUUCCCAGAGCUUUAGUUUCCUCACUAGUUAGUGGAGGCCAAGAGUUAGCUCUAAGAGUGUGAGAAUUAUUAAUAAAUGAGAUAAUGUAUUUUAAAAUAUUUUUAAACUACAAAAUAGCAUAUAACUAUAUAACAGAGUAACCACCUCAUAGGGUCUAAAUAUAAAUAGGCAUUAUUUAACCUAUAAUGUAUCUGAAUAAUAAUAACCACCCUAGUAGCUACUUUUCAUAUACUAUAUAUAAUUGCCAAUUAUAACAACCUCAUGGGAUGUAAUUAUGCUCACUUUACAGAUGAGAAAGCAGGCUUAGGAAAGGAAAUAAUUCACAGCAAAGAAGUGUGCAAAAGGAGGAAAAAAUAGAAAGAAUGAAUAAAAUAACUUGCCUAAGGUCAAAUGGCUACUAAGUGGCAGAGCUGGGACUGAAACUCUAAAGUUCAAGCUCCUUCCUCUCUACCAAACUAUUCCCUACAUGCCAACAGGCUAGUUUACAACCUGCUUGAACAGCAGGAGAAAAGGGAGAUUUGAUCUCUUUCUUCUCACUUUUAGCCCAAACCACUCUUAGCCUCACCACAUAGGUGGGAAUCCUUUUUUGCAGGGGCGGAAGGACAAUGUCUCACUCCUGAUGCCCAGGCUGGAGUGCAGUGGCGCAAUGUCAGCUCACUGCAGCCUUGACCUCUGGGGCUCAAGCAGUCUACCUACGUCAGCCCCCUCAAAUAGCUGGGACUACAGGCACACGCCACCACACUAGGCUAAAUUUUUUAUUUUUUGUAGAGACAGGGUUUCGCCAUUUUGCCCAGGGUGGUCUCGAACUCCUGGGCUCAAGUGAUCUGUUCGCCUCAACCUCCCAAUGGGCUGGGAUUACAGGCGCGAGCCACAGUUCCCAACCUUUAUUUUUAAAAGCUUUACAUAUAAUUCAACACCCUUUCUCAGCAGCUACUUACCCAGUGUUUAAAGGUUUAAUGUUCUUCACAGUUAUGUAAUUCUUCUAUCACUCUGAACUCAAUCUUAGAACCUUUUUUUUUCUUUUUGAGACGGAGUUUUGCUCUCGUUGCCCAGGCUGGAAUGCAGUGGCGCAAUCUCGGCUCACCGCAACCUCUGCCUCCCGGGUUCAAACGAUUCUCCUGCCUCAGCCUCCCGAGUAGCU
rnacentral:lncRNA from 1 species